UCCGAUGCCAAAGCAGAGACAAUUGAUAAAGAGCCUGCAUGCAGCUGAGACCCGAGAAGCUGGGACUAUGCGGGGAGAGGGUCGGCUUUGUGACUUGGCCUCAGAAGUGUGCACUGCACCCCUACACACGAAGCAGUUCUCGUGGCUUGGGUGGCCUCAUUUAUUUUUCACAUAACCAGCAGAAAGAUGGCCUGGAGAGAUGAAAGUAGGCCAGGCAUUUUCCUGUGACAGCAGGCACAGUGCAUCUAGGCUGUCUGCAGAGUGCUGUCAACAGAUAUUGGCUUAAAGCGCUUCACGUAUAGGACCCGAAUGUGGAAACUGAGCAGCCCCUGCUAUGACUUAACUUGUGAGAAGUCCUAGUGCGGGCAGUCGUCUGCAUGGAGAAGUCCUAGUGUGGGCAGUCGUCUGCAUGGAGAAGUCCUAGUGCGGGCAGUCAUCUGCAUGGAGAAGUCCUAGUGCGGGCAGUCAUCUGCAUGGAGAAGUCCUAGUGCGGGCAGUCAUCUGCAUGGUUAGUUCCUGGUUUUACGCUUGGGAACAUCUGUUCAGCCUUAACAUAGUACUUUUGGAGCUAAU
rnacentral:lncRNA from 1 species